UUCGCUUUUUCUUAAUGGGGUGUGUUUUUGAGCUACAUUGCUGCAUCUAGUGCUUGAGUUCAUUUAUGUUAAUGAAUUAUGCAGUGAAGCUAGGAGUCUUUGACAUUUGGCAAUUUUGUGAAAAGCAGAAUCCUGCCCUUUCUCCACUCAGUCCAGUAGUAAACUUCGCAUGUGUUCGUUUCCAGUUCUUUUGUUCUCUAUGGCUUGUUAUCGAAGUACUCUUCUAUGGACUCAUCAUUAACAGUUUUAAAUAUAAAAAUUUAUUUACAUCAAAUAUAAAGUAUACAAAAUAUAAUACAC
rnacentral:lncRNA from 1 species